GACUGGAGCUGCGCGGCACGGCAGUGGCCCGCGGCGGAGGGGAGCAGGCUCCCGGCUGUUGGCUCGCGCUGCUGCGGCUGCUGAAGCAUCCAUGGAGUCGCCAACCCCCAAGUCGCCGUACGAGUGAGUUCCCGAGCCCCAGCGUCACGCCUGAACCUCAUGCCCCAACCUGUGCUGUUUGAAAUAGCCUUUUACCUGUGCUCUUUUUACCUGAAACUUGUAGGUUGGAGCCAACGAAUGAACUAGCACUAGCGCACAUCAUCCCUUCCUAGGGUAAGUUCUUGUCAGGCCAUGGUUCUUGUAGAUAAAGCGUCCAAGCCCUACUUUAUUUCGUUAGUGUAGGCAGUAGGCAGUAGGCUACUUUUUUGUUAAACGAAAAAUUCAAAAUCUUACAUCUGGGUGAAGUCCUUUUCUAUUUUCUUAUAGCUACAAUUCUCAGAGUUUGAAUUGAUUCAGAUUAUGUUUGUCUUAUUAAACAGAAGGAAUCAUGCAUCCGGGAAGGAUGUAUGAUUCUGGUGCUUCAAACCGAAGGAAUAAACAAAAACUAGAUAUUUGGUUUCUUGUUUACUACAGAUAGGCUGCGAUCCUUGGAUUAGUUUCCUAAAUAUUGUAACAAAUAAGAUAUAUUUGAAGUUAAAUAAUUAACUGCGAAUUUGUCUAGCUUUCCUUUAUCUUACUUUCUACUUGCUUUUCGUCAAAUACAGUUGUCAUCACAUGCGCAGAUGAACUGGAUCGAUCUAUUCAGGUAAUCCAAUACUUUCAGUGCAACAAUGUGGUGAAACAGAAAUAGAUUUGCACAAAGAAUUUCACAGCUCAUGUGGAUGUAGCACUAAAUUUCUUUAUGCGCCGAGCUUGAACAGAACUCCCUGGUUGAAGAUGUGCGCUUAGCUUAUUAUUUUCUUGGAACAAUGAUUUAUAAUGAUUCACUUGAUUUUGGUUUGACGCAAACAUAUAGAUAGAUUUAACAAGGUAAUAGCAAGCCCGUGUGACAUUAUAUGCAAUCUCUGUUUGUAGAUGCUCUAUAUUAUGACAUUUAUCUAAUUAAAAUUUACUGAAAUAAAAAUGGCUACAGUGUAACUUAUAGAUCAUUUUUUUGUAGGUUAAAUCUAGGAAAUCGUAUGUCGUCAAAACUCUAACAAGCCAUCAGAUUGUUAUGACAGUAUCCUUACUGCAAUGAAAAAUCACUUCAAAAGAUUCAUAUUCUCAUUCUGAUGACCAAUACGAACAAAGUAUAUCGCAAUUUCUGUGUGCUGGAAGGAGAAACUCACACACAAGAAAAGCUAUGGUAUUUCAUGUUAAGUUUGCACGUACAGACCUGCAAUGAUUGAGUUAGUUCAAAUUAUUGUGUGCUAUAUUACUAACCUGCUCUUUGUAGUUUGUAUUUAUGGACAUUUAUCAUGCUGUUUUAUGGUCAUUUUAAUAAUGUUUCCCUUUUCAAAUAUUUGUUAUGAUGAUGUAUAAUUAGGUUAGCUUGAAAAAGGGAGGAUGAUGCUAUUAGCUAUUCUUGAGCUAGGAGCUCCUAAUUAAGUGUCCUUUUAGUUUCCGUAUUACGGCUUUGUUGUACUGAUAGAACAGUAGGUUGGCACUUCUUCUGUCAUGUUAUUUUUUUACCCAUUGCCCUUUUCUAAUAGUGUGGUACUAUUCUGUUACAAAGUAAAUUCUUUUCCUAGAUCACACUUUCAUAUUUGGUUUCGAAAAUAAUUGUCUUUUGUGAAGAUCCAUCUCUGAAUAUUUUAGUUAAUGAACAGCAGUCUUACUGCCUAAUCUUAAACUAAUUGUUUGAACUUUUCAUAGAGAUCAGAAUUGUACAUAGACAGCUGGUUAUAAACUUAUAAUGAGUUGUCUUAGUACAUCUUGAAUAAUUGAUGACUGGAUGUUUUGUACAAAACUUUGCUUCAGUACGGUUUCGGAUGGUGAAUAAAUUAAUGAAGAACGUUUCUUAUGCAUGUGGAAUCACCUGGUAAUUUUCUUAGGAACGUGGUUUUCCUAUUCCACAGUGAAAUCUGAGGUUGCCUUUAAACUACAAAAAAGGAACUGGUGAUGCUGCCAUUGUGUGGCCUCUUACGAUAUAUUUUUGGACCUGUUACUAGAUGGCACACGCAUUAGCUGCCAUAAGAAACAAAUCAUUUUCUAUUUUAAUAUGUCAGCUGAGACGCGUUUGACUACCUUCUUACUUAUUAUGCAGGGCACCAAGUAACGAAUAAUUGGAUCUCAAAGCUCAUAUAUGAAGAACCGAUCUUGGUAGUGGCAUAAAUGGAAGAUGAGAUCUAUGAAUAACAAAUACAAUAAUUACCUGUAGUUUCUAUAAUUUUCAAAGUUUGUAUUCUCUUCAAGAUUUUCAGUCGUUCAAGCUCACAAAUAAGAUACAUAUGGGCAUCAAUUCUAUCAGGUUUUUACACACAUGCUUUAUUUUUGAAGUAAAGAAGCAAGGAAAAACUCAGGUAAAUGCACCAAAAAUGAGAUGUCAUCAAAAGUGUUUAAGUUAUUGCAACAUCACUUUUUAUGAUUUCGUGUACAUCUGAAUUUGUAUUUGUUAGCAUUAAUCAUGGAAAAAAUAAACAAUUUUCUUUCCCUAUAUAAGCAAUCAUAAAUUUGCAUGUUUCCAAUAAAACAAGUGGGUAAAUGUAGUACUUUUAUAUUUUAUAUCUCUAAAUAUGGUUUAUCAAAUAAAUGCUUUAGUGUGCGGAUGCACGGGUUGACGACUAGUCCUAUUAAUUACUAAUACAUCAAGGAUCUUCAUGUUGUUGGUUUUCUUACAAAUCCACUCAUUGGUAAUGAUGGUUUAAUUUCUUUGAUAUUUUCUUCAGUUUAGGGACAGCAGCAGUUUUACCACCGAUGGUGUUGCAUGUAAGCUGGAUGUUCUCAUUGUUCUCUUGGCUCUGAUCGGGUGAGUUCUUCCCUAUUUCCUUUUACGGUAGUACGGUUGUAUGCAUAUGCCUCUUGAUAUUUACCAACUCUUCUUAGGAUUGCCUAACUAGCAUAUAUAUUCUCAGAAAAAUUAUCAUCUACGGCCCAUUGUCAGCUAUACAACUUUUGAAUUCUGUGAAGUUCAGUUCAGAUUUGAUAGCUAUGUCAAAACUCAAUAUUGUAUAACAUGUUUUUUGUAUGAGUGAUAUCAGCUUUCUGAGUCAGGUAAUUUUAUGGUAAGUGCUUAACUUGAUGACUUUGUAAACUUGCAAGACAGAAAUUUCAUUCUGUAAGGAAGUGAAAGACCUUCUCAUUUUCUGAUUGUUCUACCUCUCUGACUGAAACAGGAACUUUCGCGCAAAGAAAACACACACAGGGCAGGAAGGGGAAAACAUAUAGAAGGAGUCUCUCUAUUGGAAGGGGAAAAUAUAAUAUUAGACACCAUUUAUUUUUCUGCUCGCUGAUGCAUGCAAUGUAUCAUUUGGCCUUGAUUUAAUGUACUGCACUUUUCUUCAUUGCUCUCUGUUCUUUAAUAAGGCAGACUCAUAUAGAACCUGAUAUUUCUUAGUGAUGUCUUCAGAUCCCAUGAAUGUCAUUUUGCACCGAAGGUUUGUAACCGUUGGGGAAUGUUUUCUUGCUCUGAUGUAUCAAGUUGCCAUGGGGGUGAUCUAGAGGUGAAAGCUAGCAAGCCAUCUCCUGAUAUUUUCCUUAAUAGCAAGCUUAAUGCGGAACACUUAUAUUUCAGUACUUGUUUGUUUAAUUGUGUUAUUUAUCUGCAGGUCUCUUCCUUGUCCAAAGUAUGUCAUACCUAAUCAAGACAUGUUCAUUUAAUUUACCCGUCAUGUAAAUGACACAACAUGAUUCACUUGUGUAUAGUGUAAACAUAUAUUUAUUUAUGGCAAGCAGGUGUUCAAAUUAUAGUUGUGAAACGUGUAUAGUGUAAGGAUAUAAUUAUUAAGGGAAGUGACGUCACAGUGGUCGUGCCUGGUCUUCUCCGAGUCUAUGCUUGUGGUUUGUGUUCUUUAGAUCUGUUCAUGCCCUUAUAUUGC
rnacentral:lncRNA from 1 species